ACUCAAAUGAAUUGACGGGGGCCCGCACAAGCGGUGGAGUAUGUGGUUUAAUUCGAUGCAACGCGAAGAACCUUACCAGGGCUUGACAUCCCGGGAACCCGCCUGAAAGGGCGGGGUGCCCUUCGGGGAGCCCGGAGACAGGUGGUGCAUGGCUGUCGUCAGCUCGUGUCGUGAGAUGUUGGAUUAAGUUCCGCAACGAGCGCAACCCUCGUCGUAUGUUGCCAGCGGUUCGGCCGGGCACUCAUGCGAGACUGCCGCAGCAAUGUGGAGGAAGGUGGGGAUGACGUCAAGUCAGCAUGCCCCGUACGCCCUGGGCUACACACAUACUACAAUGCCACCGGCAAACCGUUGCUAACCCGCGAGGGGGCGCUAAUCGGAGAAGCGGUGGCUCAGUGCGGAUUGCAGGCUGCAACUCGCCUGCAUGAAGUCGGAAUCGCUAGUAACCGUCGGUCAGCAUGUACGACGGUGAAUACGUUCCCGGGCCUUGUACACACCGCCCGU
rnacentral:rRNA from 1 species